UAGUUAAAACCAAAAUAGAGGUGAAUUAUUGUUAAUAAUUUUAUUGGUUUUUACCUAACUAU
rnacentral:tRNA from 1 species